UCAAAAGGUAUAUAGCUUUAGUGAUUUAUCUAAGACACAUUAGGUUAAAUAAUGAAAAAAUUUGCAAGGCGGAAAGGACACAUACUGAACAACUGAUUAUAUACUCAAGUUAACCAAUAUUUGUAUUUUAAGUGAAAGAGGACAUUCAUACUAACUACAUGAAUAUAAUCAAUUUUAUUCUAAUUAUAAUAUUUUAAAUAACUCUUGUGAAGUAUUUUUUUCUAUUAAUAUGUGCAUUACAAAAUAUUCAUGUGAAGAAUAAUUAAAAGUAAUCGAAAAAGUAAAUAUAAUUACACCGAAAUUUUUAGCUGUAAUCGAUUAAAUUACGAUUACAAGUAAUCGAAAAUCUCUUCGAUUACAGAUUACUGGCGAUUACUAGAAAAAGAGUAAUCACUAAAAUCGAUUACGAUUACUCGAUUACGAUUACCCCAUGCCUGGUUCACAUGACAUAACAUGAUUAAAAAACAUUUUUCACCAAAGAUGAAAUCAAAAAGUAUUCAUAUUGUUCCUACGCUACCUGCAUCAUCGGUCAAUUUUUCGAAAAUAAAUGUCAUUCUUCGGUUGACAUUUUUUCACCAAUGAAUAUUGCUUAUAUUAUUACUACAAUAAUAUCACUUUCAAGAUUAUUGUUCGUUUAUUACCACACAAUCUCAUCUGAGAGAGAAUGCUAAUUAUUCAUUGUGUAUGAUUGUAUUUCUUUUCUUUUACUUUUUCUGAAUUACAGAGUAUUUAUUCAACACCUGCACAGAUAUCUGAUCACACCCGUGUAGACCUGGGCUGCAGCUGCUGCAAAUGUAAAACCGCGACAAAAUAUAGUUCAAUUUCGAAAAUGUGAUUACCAUCUACCCAUUGAAACUGGACGUUGGGCGAAACAGGAGAUGAAUUCCAUACCAUUCUUAGCUGUCACAGCAAGAAUGCAUUCAAUGUCUAUCAAAUGACAUGACAUGACAAAAAUGUAUUGCCAAUAGCAGCAGAGCAGGGAAACGGUAUAUUAUUUAGAUUCCACGUUUUCCGUACAAAACAGCUGAUAAUCAA